UACGUAGGGUCCGAGCGUUGUCCGGAAUUACUGGGCGUAAAGAGCUCGUAGGUGGUUUGUCGCGUUGUUCGUGAAAACUCACAGCUCAACUGUGGGCGUGCGGGCGAUACGGGCAGACUGGAGUACUGCAGGGGAGACUGGAAUUCCUGGUGUAGCGGUGGAAUGCGCAGAUAUCAGGAGGAACACCGGUGGGCGAAGGCGGGGUCUCUGGGCAGUAACUGACGCUGGAGGAGCGAAAAGCGUGGGGAGCGAACAGG
rnacentral:rRNA from 1 species